AUGUGGUUAUUGCUCAAGUCAUGUGCAUUUGGUAUUGGGGACUAUAAAGGUCCGGGAAAUCUACGAACUAUUGGAAUGCAAAUAGCAGAGAAGUUAAAGGGCAGCCCGUUAGCAGCAGUAACUGCAGGGGCACUGUUAAGAGAUCAUCUUAGCGUUGAUCAUUGGAGUAACAUUCUCAAGAAAGAGAAGUGGAAAUCGUUGGGACUCAGUGGGGGCUUCAUGCCUGCUUUGAAGCUUAGCUAUGAUGAGCUACCGUACCAUUUACAACAAUGUUUCUCAUAUUGCUCUAUAUUUCCUGAAAAAUAUAGGUUUCUUGGGAAGGAUCUGGUCUAUAUUUGGAUUUCUCAGGGAUUUUUGAAUCACGCUAAGAGAUUGGAGGAGAUAGGAUGGGAAUAUCUGCAAUUCACUCAGUUUGAAGAGAACCUGAGAAAUGCAAUUGCAUCAGUGAGGAAAUUGAGGACAUUAGUUUUAUUUGGGCACUACGACUCUUUCUUCUUGAAAUUGUUCCUUGAUAUAUUCCAGAAGGACCAGAACUUGCGUCUGCUGCAAAUGUCUGCAACAUGUGCUGAUUUUGAUUCCCUCAUGUGUAGUUUGGUAAAUCCUGCACAUCUUCGCUAUCUAAAACGUGAGCCUGAUGAGGUGGAUGGUGCUUCCCCUCAAAUUUCGAGCAAGUUGUACCAUCUUCAAGUAUUAGAUGUUGGCUCAUACACUGAUCCUAUACCUGAUGGUAAUAAUAAUCUAGUUAGCCUGCGGCAUCUUGUUCCAGAAAAUGGAGUAUACUCUUCUAUUGCUAGCAUUGGUAGCAUGACAUCACUUCAAGAGCUGCAUGAUUUUAAGGUCCAGUUUUGUUCUAGAGGCUUUGAGAUAUCACAACUCCAAUCCAUGAACGAGCUUGUACAACUUGGGGUGUCUCGACUUGAUACUGUUAAAACUCAGGAAGAGGCUUAUGGAGCAGGACUAAGAAGCAAAGAAUACUUGAAAAAUUUGCACUUGUCCUGGAAGGAUACCUUGUCACCCGAGGAAUAUGACACUAGCUCUGAAUCUACUACGGACAAAAACGAGGAGCUCUCACCAAUGGAUGAUAUUGGCUCAUUUUCUGAGCCUUCUUUGGAUAUAGUAGAAACAAGCGUGGAGCUCUUGCCAAUGGGUGAUGGUGACCAAACUGACGAGCCUUCUAUGGAUACAGCAAGAGAGGUGCUCGAGGGACUUGAACCUCACAUGAACUUAAAGCAUCUACAUAUAUCCGGGUAUAAUGGUACUACUUCACCAACUUGGCUUGCCAAUAAUAUCUCAGUUACCUCAUUGCAGACGCUUCAUCUUGAUGAUUGUGGAGAAUGGAGAAUACUUCCAUCUCUAGGAAGUCUUCCAUUUCUUACAAAGCUGAAGUUGAGCAGCAUGCGGGAAGUAAUAGAAGUAUUGGUUCCUUCACUGGAGGAGCUAGUUUUGAUCGACAUGCCUAAGUUAGUGAGAUGCUCAAGCACUUCUGUGGGGGCUCUACGAGCACUGUGGAUCAAGGAUUGUGAAGCAUUGAAGGAGUUUGAUCUGUUUGAGAACGAUGAUAAUUAUGAAAUCAUUCAGGGAUCAUGGUUGCCUGGUCUUAGAGAUUUGAUUCUGAAUUAUUGCCCUCAUUUGAAUGUGUUGAAGCCUCUUCCACCUUCAACUACCUUUUCUAAGGUACUCAUCAGAGAAAUUCCAAGAUUUCCGUAUAUGGAGAUAUCGUCUGGUGAAAAGUUAGAAAUUGGGAAUAUUGAUGAUGAGUUGAGGAUACUAGAUGACAAAACCUUGGCAUUCCAUAAUCUUAGAAACCUGAAAUCGAUGGAGAUAUAUGAUUGCAAAAAUCUAAGGACUUUUUCAUUCAAAGAUUUUAGUCAUCUUGCCUCUUUAACAAGUUUGAAAAUUGGAAACCGUGCACAACUUUUCUCUUCAGAUGUGACGUCAGAGUAUACCCAUGAAGAUGUGACAGCUGUAGAGGAAUUGACCUUAGCAUAUUGCGCACAUAUAACAAGGGUACUGUUACCGAUGGAAGAGGAAGAAAACAGCCUAUUAACAAUAGUACUGUCAUCAGGAAAUCCAGAUGAGGCAUUGACCUGGCUAGUUCAAGACGGACUCUUGCACAUUCCAGCAAAUCUCAUCGCCUCUCUCAAGAAGAUGACUAUUGAUAAGUGCCCUUGUCUAAAAUUUAACUGGGGCAAGGACGGCUUCUCUGGAUUUACCUCGCUUGAGAAGCUUAAAAUUUGGGGAGACUUGCCGUUUGUGCAUAAUGACGAAAGUAAUGACCGGGCGAAUGGAAGUUCCUUUGUGUUCGAAAAGGGGGAUCAACCCCUGGGGGCGAACAGAAGAUGGCUCCUCCCGGCAUCACUUAAAAAACUUGACAUCGGGUCAUGUCGCAUAGAAACGCUGCAACCCUGCUUUCCUAGAGAUAUCACCAGCCUUAAAAAGUUGAAGGUGCGUUCCAUCCGAGGUUUGCAAUCUCUACAGCUGCACUCAUGCACGGCACUGGAAGAAUUGGAGAUUAGAGGCUGUGGAUCGCUCACCGUCACUGAACUAGAGGGCCAUCAGACACCCCUUGGCUGCCUCGGUCGAAUGAAUGUAUCAGACUGUCCUGGCUUGCCACCAUGUUUGGAGAGCAUUUCAACGCCGUGCUCUCGGCUGGAAAGGCUUUGCAUCGAUGACCCAUCUGUCCUUACCAAGUCGUUCUGCAAGCACCUCACCUCCCUGCAAAUGCCUACAACUUUAUUGGUUGGAGGAAGUGAGGAGACUAACAGAUGA
rnacentral:rRNA from 1 species